rnacentral:rRNA from 1 species
UACGAAGGGGGCUAGCGUUGCUCGGAAUCACUGGGCGUAAAGGGUGCGUAGGCGGGUCUUUAAGUCAGGGUGGAAUACUCGUGAGCUCAACUCCAGAACUGCCUUUGAUACUGAGGAUCUUGAGUUCGGGAGAGGUGAGUGGAACUGCGAGUGUAGAGGUGAAAUUCGUAGAUAUUCGCAAGAACACCAGUGGCGAAGGCGGCUCACUGGCCCGAUACUGACGCUGAGGCACGAAAGCGUGGGGAGCAAACAGG